CACGGAUUGCCUUGAAAUACCUACUUUAUUUUUUGUUGUUGAUGUUUUCAUAUGCAUUCUUUUAGCUUUAGUUGUUUAAAUCGACUUUUUUUUAUCUAAAUGACAUAUAUUAGUUCAAAUAUAAUCAAAGAGGACAUUAUUCCAAUUACAAUACAUCUUUCAGAUCAUUAAAAACUGUUUUAUUAUUACUAUUGUUAUUGUUUUCAUGAUUAUUAUUAUUAAGUCUCAUUUGUAAUUUUGUUUUUAACACAAGAGGGCCACACCUUUUCCUCGUUGGCUUCAAAUAAAUAUAGACACCUGGGGUAUUGCUAUGGCAACAGGUUGCCAGUAGCGACGGGCUGCAUCCGUUGCUGUGGAGAUGGGCGGGAGGUGGUGGAGGGGGGAGAAGGAGAGCCGAGCGCUGACGACUGGGGUCUGCCGGGCUCAGUCGGGCUCAGUCAGCGCAGACAGACAGACAGACACAAACGCAUCUCUGCUUUCUCCUGUCAUGAGGUGAGGAGCCCUUCCGCCUGCUUGGACGCGCCCGCGCGACCCUUCAUUGGUUUCAAGGCUGCGCAGUCGGGAUGGAGCCCCGCCGCUGACGGAGACCCCGGAGCUCCCCCAGGAGAACAACAGAAACCCAGUGAGUCAGGAAAAGAUCCAGAAACUUGUUUUUCGUUCUCUAAAUUUGGCUCGGACUAUCUGAGGCACUCGUUUCUCGGUUCAAGCCACUGAACUCAUCUUCCCUUCGGAAAACUU